rnacentral:rRNA from 1 species
GACGAACGCUGGCGGCGUGCUUAACACAUGCAAGUCGAACGGAAAGGCCCCUUUGGGGGUACUCGAGUGGCGAACGGGUGAGUAACACGUGAGUAACCUGCCCUUGACUUCGGGAUAACUUCAGGAAACUGGGGCUAAUACCGGAUAGGAAUCCUUGCUGCAUGGUGGGGGUUGGAAAGCUUCGGCGGUUUUGGAUGGACUCGCGGCUUAUCAGCUUGUUGGUGGGGUAGUGGCUUACCAAGGCUUUGACGGGUAGCCGGCCUGAGGGGGCGACCGGCCACAUGGGGACGGAGGACCGGCCCAGCCGCCGCCGGGGGGAGGAGGGGGGGAAUAUGGCAAAGGGGGGGGAAGCCGGAGGCAGAAGCCCCGGGGGGGGGAUGAGGGCUUUGGGGUUGAAAACCGCUUUCAGGGGGGGAGAGGCUGGUGGGGAGGGUACCUGAAGAAGAAGCACCGGCUAACUACGUG